rnacentral:rRNA from 1 species
ACACCGACCUUUGCUGUGCUCAAUCUCCACGCUCCAAUAGCGUAUAUUUAAGUUGUUGCAGUUAAAAAGCUCGUAGUUGGAUUUCGGGUGGGUUUCAGCGGUCCGCCUAUGGUGAGUACUGCUGUGGCCUAUCUUACUGUCGGGGACCUGCUUCUGGGCUUCAUUGUCCGGGACAGGGAUUCGGCAUGGUUACUUUGAGUAAAUUAGAGUGUUCAAAGCAGGCUUACGCCGUGAAUACUUUAGCAUGGAAUAACAUGAUAGGACUCUGCCCUAUUCUGUUGGCCUGUAGGAGUGGAGUAAUGAUUAAGAGGAACAGUCGGGGGCAUUCGUAUUUCAUUGUCAGAGGUGAAAUUCUUGGAUUUAUGAAAGACGAACUACUGCGAAAGCAUUUGCCAAGGAUGUUUUCAUUAAUCAAGAACGAAAGUUGGGGGCUCGAAGACGAUCAGAUACCGUCGUAGUCAGGG